UACGUAGGGUGCAAGCGUUGCUCGGAAUUACUGGGCGUAAAGCGUGCGCAGGCGGUUUUGUAAGUCUGUCGUGAAAUCCCCGGGCUCAACCUGGGAAUUGCGAUGGAGACUGCAAGGCUAGAAUCUGGCAGAGGGGGGUAGAAUUCCACGUGUAGCAGUGAAAUGCGUAGAGAUGUGGAGGAACACCGAUGGCGAAGGCAGCCCCCUGGGUCAAGAUUGACGCUCAUGCACGAAAGCGUGGGGAGCAAACAGG
rnacentral:rRNA from 1 species